UACAGAGGGUGCGAGCGUUAAUCGGAAUUAUUGGGCGUAAAGGGAGCGUAGGCGGAUGUGCAAGUGGUAGGUGAAAUACCCGGGCUUAACCUGGGGAGGUCCUAUCAGACUGCACGUCUAGAAUGUGGUAGAGGAAGGUGGAAUUCCUGGUGUAGCGGUGGAAUGCGCAGAUAUCAGGAGGAACACCGGUGGCGAAGGCGGGUCUCUGGGCAGUAACUGACGCUGAGGAGCGAAAGCGUGGGGAGCGAACAGG
rnacentral:rRNA from 1 species